GGUUACAGCUCAGUGGUAGAGUGCUUGCCUUCCACGAGUGAGGCACUGGGUUCAAUCCUCAGCACCA
rnacentral:tRNA from 1 species